ensembl:misc_RNA Metazoa_SRP Metazoan signal recognition particle RNA
ACUAGGUGCGGUGGCAUGUGCCUGUAGUCGCAGCUACUCAGGAGGCUGAGUUGGGAGGAUUGCUUGAGCCCAGGAGUUCUGGGCUGUACUGUGCUAUGCUGAUCGGGCGUCCACAGUAAGUUCGGCAUCCAUCUGGUGACCUCCUGGGAGUGGGGGACCACUAGGUUGCCUAAGGAGGGGUGAACCAGCCCAGAUCAGAAACAGAGGAGGUCAAAACUCCCAUGCUGAUCAGUAAUGGGAUCAUGCCUGUGAAUAGCCACUGCAUUCCAACCUGGGCAACAUAGUGAGACCCCAUCUCAG